rnacentral:rRNA from 1 species
UACGGAGGGGGCUAGCGUUGUUCGGAAUCAUUGGGCGUAAAGGGCGCGUAGGCGGCCUCCGCAAGUCAAUUGUGAAAUCUCCGGGCUUAACUCGGAAAGGUCAACUGAUACUGCGGGGCUAGAGUGCGGAAGGGGCAACUGGAAUUCUUGGUGUAGCGGUGAAAUGCGUAGAUAUCAGGAGGAACACCCGUGGCGAAGGCGGUUCUCUGGGACGGUACUGACGCUGAGACGCGAAAGCGUGGGGAGCGAACAGG